rnacentral:rRNA from 1 species
UACGGAGGGUGCAAGCGUUAUCCGGAUUCACUGGGGUUAAAGGGUGCGUAGGCGGGCAAGUAAGUCAGUGGUGAAAUCUCCGGGCUUAACCCGGAAACUGCCAUUGAUACUAUUUGUCUUGAAUACUGUGGAGGUCAGCGGAAUAUGUCAUGUAGCGGUGAAAUGCGUAGAUAUGACAUAGAACACCAAUUGCGAAGGCAGCUCGCUACGCGGUUAUUGACACUGAGGCACGAAAGCGUGGGGAUCAAACAGG